rnacentral:rRNA from 1 species
CCUACGGGAGGCAGCAGUGGGGAAUAUUGCACAAUGGGCGCAAGCCUGAUGCAGCCAUGCCGCGUGUAUGAAGAAGGCCUUCGGGUUGUAAAGUACUUUCAGCGCGGGAGGAAGGUGUUGUGGUUAAUAACCGCAGCAAUUGACGUUACCCGCAGAAGAAGCACCGGCUAACUCCGUGCCAGCAGCCGCGGUAAU